GUUCCCGUGGUGCAGUGGUUAGCACAUUAGACUUUGAAUCUGAAGACCCGGGUCCGAAUCCCGGCGGGAACU